AAAAAACCCCAGCCACCCCGAAUCAGUCUCAGCCCACUCCCGUGCGUGCUGCUGGAUAGGGUUCGCCGCCAACCUCACCGGUCGCUGCUACCGUCGGUUUCCCCUACAUGGCCGGAGGAUAGGCCAUCCCGCCGGUCCAUUCCCGCCCCACCCCCAUUCCUUUCUUGCUCCCUCCCUCCCCGCGCUCGCCCGUGGAAUCCCCUUUGACUCCCAGCCGCCCCCGCCGACGCCCGCCAGUAGCGCCUGCCGGCGGGCCGCCUCGCGUCGCCCGAUCUGUCGCCCGUCCCGCCUCCUCACCCAGGUCUCCUACCCAGGAGGAGGACUAGGAGGAGCAGGAGGAGGGGAGACCUGUUGGGCGCGCGCAGGAGGCUCCCCGCCGAUCGCCACCCGCCACCCCAAGGAUCAAGGCCGGCUGCGCCGGUCCCCGUCGGUCGCUGCUCCGGAUCCAGGCCGCCCACCGCCCUACCCCCGUCAGCCCGGUCUAUUUCCCACUGGAUCCCAUCUUCGCCGCCGUCCGACGCGCCUUCUUCAAGGAGCUGCGACCCCAUGUCUCAGAGGAGCUAGCCCCGGCGCCAUUGAUGCCCGAGCGACGCUCCCAAGCUAGGAGCGGCACCAGGACGACCACGCCCCCGAAGCCUAAACUGCAAGUUUAUUUUCAGAGUACUUGUUGCGUGCAAAAUCCUACCCUGGCGCAGGUUGUUGGUUGUUUAAUUCUGGAAUCACAAGUUAAUGCAUUUUGCUAUAUCCACCCACGCCCUCUCCAUUGCCACUCCAUCGGUCGCGUAGAGAAUAUCGAGAAACGCAGCCUAACGCCAGUGUCGAGCUGAUUCCGGGGAUGAUUCCACUCAAACGUAAUGAGCAUAUACGAACAGGUUUGCAGUACGUCCAUGCCUUUGGGGCAUCUGGAGCUUCACAUAAUUGCUAAUUAGUGGCUGGGAUUUUGACGUCGCCUCUUAUACAUAUAUGGAGUUGCACUGUGAUUAAAUUUAUAUUGCUUUAAUAAUGUUCAAGCUUGGAAAAUGAUGCUUAGUUCUAGACAAUGGAAAUAAGUUGUCAUUAUUUCGGAACUUAUCCGUGCACCGAGACUUGCUACUUUGAUUCCGUUGUUUGCUAGAGAGAAUAGCUAUGUAACCUGGCCGACCUCUCUAACCUCAUUUAUGAAUUUGGUUUCUCAGAGUUCAACUAUGUCUUUCAAAAAUCAAACUAAAACAUAUUCCAUUUAUUUAUCCCACUGUUUAUAGGCAAUCUGGUCAUACCUUUGUAGUUCUAUUUGGAAAAUAGUUAGAGAACAUUAGGUACCAACAAUAGCACUAUUUUUUGUCGGACGAGGACAUCGACAUGCAGCCUGCUACGGACUCCACCACCAAUCAUCCUCAUGUAGUGGCGUGAGGUGCCCAUGUGUCAAGAUGGUGGUGCAACGGCUGGCAACAACGUGUCUGAAUGCCAUGGGCAGAUGGGUGACAGUGAUAUACGUCCUACAUAGAUAUAUACAUUCUAAAUUAUACAUGUUAUCUCCCAAUGAAGAGAUGAGAAAAAUAUAAUUGUUUCGUUGCUAUGAGGGUCUGGUGUUCGACGACUUCCCCAUGCGUUCAUCCUAAUGAGACAUUGCAAAUGAUCUUUAAUUUGGUGCAACAUAACUCCCGACAAGCAUCGACGUCUGCCAUUAUCGCGAGCAAGACCCUGAUCCUCCUUCGUCGGCCACUACCGCGAGCAAGAACCUUGAUCCUUCACCUACGGGUUGACGAUUUGCUUCAGAUCACGGAAGCUUGGGUUGAUGGAGUGCUUGUCUUUAGUUUUUGUUUUGACUUUGUGAAACUUGCUACCUGUGAUGAAACUGUGUAAUAUUGAUGAAACUGUGUAAU